rnacentral:rRNA from 1 species
AUUGAACGCUGGCGGCAGGCCUAACACAUGCAAGUCGAGCGGAUGAAGGGAGCUUGCUCCUGGAUUCAGCGGCGGACGGGUGAGUAAUGCCUAGGAAUCUGCCUGGUAGUGGGGGAUAACGUCCGGAAACGGGCGCUAAUACCGCAUACGUCCUGAGGGAGAAAGUGGGGGAUCUUCGGACCUCACGCUAUCAGAUGAGCCUAGGUCGGAUUAGCUAGUUGGUGGGGUAAAGGCCUUCCAAGGCGACGAUCCGUAACUGGUCUGAGAGGAUGAUCAGUCACACUGGAACUGAGACACGGUCCAGACUCCUACGGGAGGCAGCAGUGGGGAAUAUUGGACAAUGGGCGAAAGCCUGAUCCAGCCAUGCCGCGUGUGUGGAGAAGGUCUUCGGAUUGUAAAGCACUUUAAGUUGGGAGGAAGGGCAGUAAGUUAAUACCUUGCUGUUUUGACGUUACCAACAGAAUAAGCACCGGCUAACUUCGUG